rnacentral:rRNA from 1 species
GACGAACGCUGGCGGCGUGCUUAACACAUGCAAGUCGAGCGGUAAGGCCCUUUCGGGGGUACACGAGCGGCGAACGGGUGAGUAACACGUGGGUGACCUGCCCUCAGCUCUGGGAUAAGCCUGGGAAACCGGGUCUAAUACCGGAUAUGACUCCAUGACGCAUGUUGUGGGGUGGAAAGCCUUGUGCGGCUGAGGAUGGGCCCGCGGCCUAUCAGCUUGUUGGUGGGGUGANGGCCUACCAAGGCGACGACGGGUAGCCGGCCUGAGAGGGCGACCGGCCACACUGGGACUGAGACACGGCCCAGACUCCUACGGGAGGCAGCAGUGGGGAAUAUUGCACAAUGGGCGAAAGCCUGAUGCAGCGACGCCGCGUGAGGGAUGACGGCCU